GUGGGAGUAUGCUCCCAGGCGUCGACGGGUAGCCGGCCUGAGAGGGUGACCGGCCACACUGGGACUGAGACACGGCCCAGACUCCUACGGGAGGCAGCAGUGGGGAAUAUUGCACAAUGGGCGCAAGCCUGAUGCAGCAACGCCGCGUGAGGGAUGACGGCCUUCGGGUUGUAAACCUCUUUUAGCAGGGAAGAAGCGUGAGUGACGGUACCUGCAGAAAAAGCACCGGCUAACUACGUGCCAGAGCCCGCGGCCGACCG
rnacentral:rRNA from 1 species